GCCCCGCCCCUCGGUCGAGGGAACCAGUUCUGGGAGCUGUCGCGCCCCCAGCCAGCUCGCCGCUCCUACCCCGCUGCCCCGCCGAGAUCUGUAAGCAGCGAAGGGGAAGAUCGCCAAACAGUGGUGUCGAGGAAAAAACUAGAGCGUGUGUUUGUGCCACUGUGUGUGUAAAACAAAGAUCGAAGAGGGCGGGCUUCGGAGGACGAGUGACAGCAUCAGCGGUUACCGGGAGGCGACGUUACCCUGACAUCCUCCCGCCCCACCCUCGCCCCGAGAUUGCCUGCUGUGUUGGAGGUGCCGAUGGACAAGAUGAAACCCACUGCCUCGAUUGAACAGAUGGAAAAACAGAAGCUUCAUCGGGUAAUUGGACUUGACCAAGGGCAACAGCUGUAUCACCCCCAACCACAUUUUUUUUUGAGCUGGACACCUGAUGAAAUUGAAACUGGAAGUUUUCGUUUCAAGACAAGAAGGUUACUGAUCUUUGAGGUCAGCAAUUGUGCCCCAGGUGGGAGCUGGUCCCAUUUCUUUUUUUACAUAUCUACUCUCUUAUUAGUGCAUAUUUUAUGCAGAAUGGUGGUUUCAUUACACAUGUUCCCAGCUGUGUAUAAACACAGCUGGAUUUCCCGUGCCUUCCUCCCCUGACCUCCCCCUCCCCCACCCGUCUCCAUCCUCAUGGUCUCCCUUCUGCUAUUAUGGUAUCCUUUUUGCCCCCCUUAACUUCCACAUAUGAGGCGGGGACACUUUUCUGAGUCUGACUUAUCUCACUC